UACGUAGGGUGCAAGCGUUGUCCGGAAUUAUUGGGCGUAAAGAGCGUGUAGGCGGCCAGACAGGUCCGUUGUGAAAACUCGAGGCUCAACCUCGAGACGCCGAUGGAAACCGUCUGGCUAGAGUCCGGAAGAGGAGAGUGGAAUUCCUGGUGUAGCGGUGAAAUGCGCAGAUAUCAGGAAGAACACCCGUGGCUAAGGCGGCUCUCUGGUACGGUACUGACGCUGAGACGCGAAAGCGUGGGGAGCGAACAGG
rnacentral:rRNA from 1 species